rnacentral:sRNA from 1 species
AUCGCUUCUCGGCCUUUUGGCUAAGAUCAAGUGUAGUACUCCCAUGUCACAAUCAUCGACGUCUGCUGCCCCUU